UCACUCUGGCAAAUAUGGACUACAGAUCUGGACUGCUGUUUUCUAUUUUUUGCUUUGCAGAAGUUUAUUGUCAGACUCUGAGAGAAUCUGAAUCAGUGGUUAAAAGACCAGGAGAGUCUCACCAACUGACCUGUACUGCCUCUGGAUUCACAUUCAGCGACUACUACAUGGACUGGAUCAGACAGGCUCCUGGGAAGGAACUGGAAUGGCUUGCUGAGAUCAAUGAUGAUGGUGAUAGCCCAUGGCACUCUCAGUCAGUCCAAGACCGGUUUACCAUCUCCAGAGACAACAGCAAACAGCAGGUGUAUCUGCAGAUGAACAGCCUGAGAACAGAAGAUUCUGCUGUUUAUUAUUGUGCUCGAGAGACACAGUGA